rnacentral:rRNA from 1 species
UACGUAGGGUGCAAGCGUUAAUCGGAAUUACUGGGCGUAAAGCGUGCGCAGGCGGUUCGUUGUGUCGGCGGUGAAAGCCCCGGGCUCAACCUGGGAAUGGCCGUUGAAACUGGCGAACUGGAGUGUGGCAGAGGGGGGGUGGAAUUCCGCGUGUAGCAGUGAAAUGCGUAGAGAUGCGGAGGAACACCGAUGGCGAAGGCAGCCCCCCUGGGCUGACACUGACGCUCAGGCACGAAAGCGUGGGGAGCAAACAGG